rnacentral:rRNA from 1 species
UUUUUAUGGAGAGUUUGAUCCUGGCUCAGGACGAACGCUGGCGGCGUGCUUAACACAUGCAAGUCGAACGGUAAGGCCCCUUCGGGGGUACACGAGUGGCGAACGGGUGAGUAACACGUGGGUGACCUGCCCUGUACUUCGGGAUAAGCCUGGGAAACUGGGUCUAAUACCGGAUAUGACCUUCCCCUGCAUGGGGGUUGGUGGAAAGCUUUUGCGGUACAGGAUGGGCCCGCGGCCUAUCAGCUUGUUGGUGGGGUAAUGGCCUACCAAGGCGACGACGGGUAGCCGGCCUGAGAGGGCGACCGGCCACACUGGGACUGAGACACGGCCCAGACUCCUACGGGAGGCAGCAGUGGGGAAUAUUGCACAAUGGGCGAAAGCCUGAUGCAGCGACGCCGCGUGAGGGAUGACGGCCUUCGGGUUGUAAACCUCUUUCAGUAGGGA